rnacentral:rRNA from 1 species
UACGUAGGGUGCAAGCGUUGUCCGGAAUUAUUGGGCGUAAAGAGCUCGUAGGCGGUUUUGUCGCGUCUGCUGUGAAAACUCGGGGCUUAACCCCGGGCCUGCAGUGGGUACGGGCAGACUAGAGUGCGGUAGGGGAGACUGGAAUUCCUGGUGUAGCGGUGAAAUGCGCAGAUAUCAGGAGGAACACCGGUGGCGAAGGCGGGUCUCUGGGCCGUAACUGACGCUGAGGAGCGAAAGCAUGGGGAGCGAACAGG